rnacentral:rRNA from 1 species
AUUGAACGCUGGCGGCAGGCCUAACACAUGCAGGUCGAGCGGAUGAAGGGAGCUUGCUCCUGGAUUCAGCGGCGGACGGGUGAGUAAUGCCUAGGAAUCUGCCUGGUAGUGGGGGAUAACGUCCGGAAACGGGCGCUAAUACCGCAUACGUCCUGAGGGAGAAAGUGGGGGAUCUUCGGACCUCACGCUAUCAGAUGAGCCUAGGUCGGAUUAGCUAGUUGGUGGGGUAAAGGCCUACCAAGGCGACGAUCCGUAACUGGUCUGAGAGGGUGAUCAGUCACACUGGAACUGAGACACGGUCCAGACUCCUACGGAGGCAGCAGUGGGGAAUAUUGGACAAUGGGCGAAAGCCUGAUCCAGCCAUGCCGCGUGUGUGAAGAAGGUCUUCGGAUUGUAAAGCACUUUAAGUUGGGAGGAAGGGCAGUAAGUUAAUACCUUGCUGUUUUGACGUUACCAACAGAAUAAGCACCGGCUAACUUCGUG